GUCUAUGGCCAUACCACCCUGAAUGCGCCCGAUCUCGUCUGAUCUCGGAAGGUAAGCAGUGUUGGGCCUAGUUUGUACUUGGGUGGGAGAAAAAACUCAGUUUCUCUAAGGA
rnacentral:rRNA from 1 species